rnacentral:rRNA from 1 species
GAUACGUCUUCAGAGUUUGAUCCUGGCUCAGGAUGAACGCUAGCUACAGGCUUAACACAUGCAAGUCGAGGGGAAACGGCGGAGGAGCUUGCUUCUUCGGACGUCGACCGGCGCACGGGUGAGUAACGCGUAUCCAACCUGCCCCGGUCUGCGGGAUAACCCGUCGAAAGACGGACUAAUACCGCAUGGGGUUCCCUGAGGGCAUCUGACGGGAACUAAAGAUUGAUCGGACCGGGAUGGGGAUGCGUCUGAUUAGCUCGUUGGCGGGGUAAAGGCCCACCAAGGCGACGAUCCGUAGCUGGUCUGAGAGGAUGAUCAGCCACACUGGAACUGAGACACGGUCCAG